UGGGGAAUCUUGGACAAUGGGGGCAACCCUGAUCCAGCGACGCCGCGUGGGUGAUGAAGGCCUUCGGGUUGUAAAGCCCUUUCGCCGGGGACGAUGAUGACGGUACCCGGAGAAGAAGCACCGGCUAACUCCGUGCCAGCAGCCGCGGUAAGACGGAGGGUGCUAGCGUUGUUCGGAAUCACUGGGCGUAAAGGGCGCGUAGGCGGCGCGGGCAGUCGGCUUUGUGAAAGCCCGGGGCUCAACCCCGGAAUGGCGGCCGAUACUCUCGUGCUGGAGGCCGGAAGAGGAGGGUGGAAUACCCAGUGUAGAGGUGAAAUUCGUAGAUAUUGGGUGGAACACCGGUGGCGAAAGCGGCUCUCUGGUCCGGUUCUGACGCUGAGGCGCGAAAGCGUGGGGAGCAAACAGG
rnacentral:rRNA from 1 species